rnacentral:rRNA from 1 species
AUUGAACGCUGGUGGCACGCCUAACACAUGCAAGUCGAGCGGCAGCGAGACUAGUAGCAAUACUAGUUGUCGGCGAGCGGCGGACGGGUGAGUAACACGUAGGAAUCUGCCCUUAAGCGGGGGAUAACCAAGGGAAACUUUGGCUAAUACCGCAUAAUCUCGAGAGAGCAAAGCUGCCCGCAAGGGUGGCACUUGAGGAGGAGCCUGCGUCCGAUUAGCUAGUUGGUGGGGUAAUGGCCUCCCAAGGCGAUGAUCGGUAACUGGUCUGAGAGGACGACCAGUAAAACUGGGACUGGGACACGGCCCGGACGCCUACGGGGGGCAGAAGUGGGGAAGAUUGGACAAGUGGGGCAACCCUGAUCCAGCGAUGCCGCGUGAGUGAAGAAGGCCUUCGGGUCGUAAAGCUCUUUAGGUUGGGAAGAAGGGUAUUGGCUGAAUAAUCCAGUACUUUGACGGUACCGACAGACUAAGCACCGGCAAACUCUGUGCCAGCCGCCGCGGUAACAC